rnacentral:rRNA from 1 species
GUUGUAUGGUUAAGUGACUAAGCGUACACGGUGGAUGCCUUGGCAGUCAGAGGCGAUGAAAGACGUAGUAACUUGCGAUAAGCCCAGAUUAGGUAGUAACAACCAUUUGAGUCUGGGAUUUCUGAAUGGGGAAACCCACUUACAUAAGUAAGUAUCAUUAACUGAAUACAUAGGUUAAUGAGGCGAACCGGGGGAACUGAAACAUCUAAGUACCCCGAGGAAAAGAAAUCAACCGAGAUUCCGAAAGUAGCGGCGAGCGAAAUUGGACUAGCCCUUAAGCUUUACACGCGUUAGACGAACGGUCUGGAAAGUCCGACGAUACAGGGUGAUAGUCCCGUAGUUGACGACGUGUGUUCAGUGAAAUCGAGUAGGGCGGGACACGUGAUAUCCUGUCUGAAUAUGGGGGGACCAUCCUCCAAGGCUAAAUA